rnacentral:rRNA from 1 species
AGGCGCUGAUGGGCGGUCCACUGACUGUUAGUCGACGAUUACCCCUUAAAAGGUUUUAGUGGCGAACGGGUGAGUAACACGUAAGUAACCUGCCUUUAAUACGAGGAUAACAAUUGGAAACGGUUGCUAAGACUGGAUAGGAAACAAAAAGGCAUCUUUUUGUUUUUAAAAGACCUUCUUACGAAGGUAUGCUUAAAGAGGGGCUUGCGCCACAUUAGUUAGUUGGUAGGGUAAAAGCCUACCAAGACGAUGAUGUGUAGCUGGACUGAGAGGUUGAACAGCCACAUUGGGACUGAGACACGGCCCAAACUCCUACGGGAGGCAGCAGUAGGGAAUUUUCGGCAAUGGAGGAAACUCUGACCGAGCAACGCCGCGUGAACGAUGAAGUAUUUCGGUAUGUAAAGUUCUUUUAUUGAAGAAGAAAAAGUAGUGGAAAAACUAUAUUGACGUUAUUCAAUGAAUAAGCCCCGGCUAACUAUGUGCCAGCAGCCGCGGUAAGACAUAGGGGGCGAGCGUUAUCCGGAAUUAUUGGGCGUAAAGGGUGCGUAGGCUGUUAGAUAAGUCUAUAAUUUAAUUUCAGUGCUUAACGCUGUCUUGUUAUAGAAACUGUCUUGACUAGAGUGAGAUAGAGGCAAGCGGAAUUCCAUGUGUAGCGGUAAAAUGUGUAAAUAUAUGGAGGAACACCAGAAGCGUAGGCGGCUUGCUGGGUCUUUACUGACGCUGAGGCACGAAAGCGUGGGUAGCAAACAGGAUUAGAUACCCUGGUAGUCCCGCCGUAAACGAUGAGUACUAAGUGUCGGGGUAAACUCGGUACUGAAGUUACACAUUAGUACUCCCCUGAGUAUACGUACGCAGUAUGAAACUUAAGGAAUGACGGACUCCCAAAAGCGGGGAUAUGUUGUUAAUUCAAGAUACCCAAAAUCUACCAGGUCUGACUACUCUGCAAGCUAUAAAAUAUAUGGAGUUAUCAGGAUACGGGGGGCAUGGUGUCUUCGUCUUGUCCGGCAUUUAGUUAAUUCAAACAAAACAACCUUGUCCUAAUGCCUCUUGAUGGGGGCUUUUAAGGAAACUGCAAUAAAUGGGAGAAGGGAGGUUCGGAAACUCCAUCCCUAUGGUUCGGUCCAAAGGUACAUGGAAGAAAAAAUUUAGGGAACCAAUUCUACCAACCAAACCUUUCAC